rnacentral:lncRNA from 1 species
GGAAAUAUGCCUUGUCGAGAUUUAACUCCAUAAACAGUCCAUGUCAUAGAAUUACACGAUCAUGUAUGAUGUAAGGACUCAAGCACUGUUACAUUGUCCUAUGCCUAGACUUAUUAUUUACUCCCUUUGAUCAAUGGACAAUCAAAGUAAUUUAUCAGACGCUCCAUUACACAAACAGCAGUCGGAUACAACAAGAGCAUCAGUUAGUUUUCCUUCAUCAAUUAGCCUACAUAGACAAAUCAAAUCUAAUUGUCAAGAGAGGUUGCAAGAGAAAGGUCAUUCAAGAUCUGCACCAUAUGUGAUACUAAAUAUGUAUAUCCACAAUGAAAUAAGCACUGGACAACAAAACAAGGAUGAUUUGAUAUACCUUGCUUUUAGGAAUUCAAUUUUGACGUCAUUUGAUGAUUGAGCCAUGAAAAUAAGGACAUCUCCAAACCUAGGUGCAUGAAGCAAGGCAAUGAGCUAAAUUAAUGCAUCUAGUACAUAUUUUACUCACUCUACACUCUAGGCUUUCAUAGCAUCACAGUAAUCUCAGGUUACUCAUGGGAAAUAAAACAAAUCAAAGAGCAAGAUUUGCAUAUGGCGAAUGGAGGAAUGAAGCCAUACCUACAUGAGAAAUUCUUGCAUUCGUGCUACAAACCCCGAAAAGGAAAAUCAAACCUCCUCUCUAGAGCCUCUGCCCUGUUAAUUUCUUAGACACAUGAGCACCACAACGGAAGAUUC